GACGAACGCUGGCGGCGUGCUUAACACAUGCAAGUCGAACGGAAGGGCCCUGCUUGCAGGGUACUCGAGUGGCGAACGGGUGAGUAACACGUGGGUGAUCUGCCCUGCACUUCGGGAUAAGCUUGGGAAACUGGGUCUAAUACCGGAUAGGAGCCAUCUUUAGUGUGGUGGUUGGAAAGUUUUUUCGGUGUAGGAUGAGCUCGCGGCCUAUCAGCUUGUUGGUGGGGUAAUGGCCUACCAAGGCGGCGACGGGUAGCCGGCCUGAGAGGGUGUACGGCCACAUUGGGACUGAGAUACGGCCCAGACUCCGACGGGAGGCAGCAGUGGGGAAUAUUGCACAAUGGGCGCAAGCCUGAUGCAGCGACGCCGCGUGGGGGAUGAAGGCCUUCGGGUUGUAAACUCCUUUCGCUAGGGACGAAGCGUUUUUGUGACGGUACCUAGAUAAGAAGCACCGGCUAACUACGUG
rnacentral:rRNA from 1 species